rnacentral:rRNA from 1 species
GACGAACGCUGGCGGCGUGCUUAACACAUGCAAGUCGAGCGGAAAGGCCACUUCGGUGGUACUCGAGCGGCGAACGGGUGAGUAACACGUGAGUAAUCUGCCCCUGGCUUUGGGAUAGCCACCGGAAACGGUGAUUAAUACCGGAUACGACCACUUCUCGCAUGGGAUGGUGGUGGAAAGUUUUUUCGGCCAGGGAUGUGCUCGCGGCCUAUCAGCUUGAUGGUGAGGUAAUGGCUCACCAUGGCUUCGACGGGUAGCCGGCCUGAGAGGGUGACCGGUAACACUGGGACUGGGACACGGCCCAGACUCCUACGGGAGGCAGCAGUGGGGAAUAUUGGACAAUGGGCGGAAGCCUGAUCCAGCAACGCCGCGUGAGGGAUGACGGCCUUCGGGUUGUAAACCUCUUUCAGCAGGGACGAAGCGCAAGUGACGGUACCUGCAGAAGAAGCACCGGCCAACUACGUGCCAGCAGCCGCCGUAA